ensembl:lncRNA
CCGAUGACUAUUCAUCGAUAGCGGUCCCUGAGCAGUGAAGGGUAAGAGCAGUGCACUCUGGGAAGGAAAACCAUCCACACCAGAAUUGGAAUAUUAUUCCGCUGCAUGCCUCCAAUAGACUGCACUUUCCUUUCUGAAGUGCGUUAAGCCUCACAGCCUCUCUGAAUUCAAUCAGUCAUCAGGGCUGGUGGCAGACGACAGGGGCAGGCCGGGAUAAUCCAGGACAACUUCAUCAGCCUCGUCUUCUCCUGCAGUGAUGCAUCCUCUCCCCUGGUCAGAAAGCUCAUGGAUUUGAUCCAAAAUAUCUUUAUUUGAGUUCCAAAGAUGAACAACUGGUUUGGAACAGCAAGAGGCCCUCUACUGUUAAGUGAUUGGACAAUUAUCAUUGAUGUAAUCGUGGAAGCUAGAAGGGAUGAUGCAAAAACUAUUUGUCACAUACGCUACUGUGAGGGAGCGCAGAAUGAGGAACGAGGAGACGUGGAGUACUUCAACAUAUCUACUUUAAUUAACAUCCAAAGAACACCAGGAACACACAGACUUAGAGAGGAAGAUGACAUUCAAUACUGGACGACCAACUCAGAAUAGGAAACACUUUAAAUACACGACAUGACGAGGGGAUGGCGAGAAACACCUGCGAUCAAUAAACAUAAUUGGAACAGGAAACAGGAAGGACCAAAUAAGGGCAUGGAGGGAGAAUCUAGGACAUGGGGAACAAAACACAAGACUAGACAGGAACACAGGCCUGACAUUAUACCCCCCAUUCCCGGAAGGCGCAUCCACGUGCCUCACAACAACCAAUGGAGAGGGAAGUGGGGGGGGGGGGGGUUGCUCUGGAGGCUUACAGGAAUGGACGGCCUCCAGGGCGGAUCACGCAGUUCAGGGCGCCAUGGCGGAUCAAGCAGACUAGGAAGCCAUGGUGGAGCAGGGAGCUUGGGGAGCCAUGGCCUCGACACUCAGCCCGACCUCCACAGAUGGACUCCUACUACUCCCCCCCCCCCCAAAAAAAAACAUCCUUGGGGAGAAUGUCGGUUUCAGAGGCUGGACGUGGGAACUGUGGCCCUCCCUGGGCUUGACUUGGGGACUGGAGCCCUCCUUGGUCUGGACGCUGGAACUGGAGCCCUUUCUGUGCUAGACUCAGGGACUGGAGCCCUCUCUGAUCUAAACUCAGGAACUGAAGUCCUGAGUCUGAAACACUGGAGUGAGCUCUGGGGCUGGAGCCGACACUGGACCGAGCUCUAGGGCUGGGAUGAGGGUGGAUGACAGAGGGUGGAUGACAGUCUUUUUCUCUUCAUCCUCCUUCAGUUAACUGGUGCGGCUGGCAACCUUGAGAGCUGAGUGGCUGGCGGGAUUGACAACGGAGCGGCUGGCAGGUUUGACUGAGGUAAUGGCCAGCGGGCUUGACUGAGGAAUGGCUGGCAGGCUUGACAUCGGCGCGGCCGGCAGGCUGGUUCUGGCUCGGGGCCGGAACCUCUUCGGGCACCGGAGGAUCCCUUCCCUCCAGGAAUCUAAUAGGUAAAAAAUUUAAGUUAUUGUUAGCUUCUGGUUUUUUGCUGCAUCCCUACUACAACUGUUGUAUGCUGUACGUGUUGGUGCCGUAAAACAAUGCGCUCAUUUCGUGGAAUUUUGUACCCGCUAACCGCUAACCAAACUUACAAGAAAUCAUUCACCUUAUUAGAAGUCAGUGUCAGAAAGAUUAUGGAACUGAUAUUGCAAGGUAAAAUCAUACAUAAAUUUGCUUUAAUAUUAAUAAACUGAUUGAUAAACAGUUGGUUGUUCACAGC